ensembl:misc_RNA Metazoa_SRP Metazoan signal recognition particle RNA
GCCAGGUGUGGUGGUGGGCACCUGUAAUCCCAGCUACUUGGGAAGCUGAGGUAGGAGAAUCACUUGAGCCCAGGAGGCAGGGGUUGCAGUGAGCUGAGAUGGUGCCACUGCACUCCAGCCUGGGCAACAGAGUGAAAAUCCAUCUCAA